rnacentral:lncRNA from 1 species
CCAGUGGUAAAUUUUUUCAGAUCUGCAUAGAGUUAAUGUCAAAAUCAAAGUUAUUUUGGUUAAUUUUUUUAGCUUUGUCACCAUCUGCUAUGGUUGCUUUAUCUAUAUUGAGAACAUUUGAUGCAGGCUUAUCAUUUCAUCAGUUUUUGAGAUUCCGUAAGUGAUGUAUGAUAGUGACAUAUAGUGAUAUUAUAGUGAUGUAUAGUGUAUAGAUAAGAUAU